rnacentral:rRNA from 1 species
AGAGUUUGAUCCUGGCUCAGGAUGAACGCUAGCGGCAGGCCUAAUACAUGCAAGUCGAACGGUAAGGCUCCUUCGGGAGUACACGAGUGGCGCACGGGUGCGUAACGCGUAUGCAACCUACCCUUUAGUGGGGGAUAGCCUGAAGAAAUUCAGAUUAAUACCCCAUAUUAUUCAGUCAUUGCAUAUUGAUUGGAUGAAAACUCCGGUGCUAAGGGAUGGGCAUGCGUGACAUUAGCUAGUUGGUGAGGUAAAGGCUCACCAAGGCUACGAUGUCUAGCUGGUCUGAGAGGAUGAUCAGCCACACUGGCACUGAGACACGGGCCAGACUCCUACGGGAGGCAGCAGUAGGGAAUAUUGGACAAUGGGCGCAAGCCUGAUCCAGCCAUGCCGCGUGGAGGAAGACGGUCCUCUGGAUUGUAAACUUCUUUUCUGAAGGAAUAAACCUGUUCUAUAUGAACAGCUGAAGGUACUUCAGGAAUAAGCACCGGCUAACUCCGUGCCAGCAGCCGCGGUAAUACGGAGGGUGCAAGCGUUGUCCGGAUUUAUUGGGUUUAAAGGGUGCGUAGGCGGAUAUUUAAGUCAGUGGUGAAAUUUUGCGGCUCAACCGUAACACUGCCAUUGAUACUGGAUAUCUUGAGUAUGUUUGAGGUGGUUGGAAUGCGUAGUGUAGCGGUGAAAUGCAUAGAUAUUACGCAGAACACCGAUUGCGAAGGCAGAUCACUAAGACAUAACUGACGCUGAUGCACGAAAGCGUGGGGAGCGAACAGGAUUAGAUACCCUGGUAGUCCACGCCGUAAACGAUGGAUACUAGGUGUUCGGCCUAUAUGGUUGAGUGCCUAAGCGAAAGCGAUAAGUAUCCCACCUGGGGAGUACGUCCGCAAGGAUGAAACUCAAAGGAAUUGACGGGGGCCCGCACAAGCGGUGGAGCAUGUGGUUUAAUUCGAUGAUACGCGAGGAACCUUACCUGGACUAGAAUGCCCUUGACAGCCUGUGAAAGCAGGUUUUCCUUCGGGACAAGGUGCAAGGUGCUGCAUGGUUGUCGUCAGCUCGUGCCGUGAGGUGUUGGGUUAAGUCCCGCAACGAGCGCAACCCCUAUCUUUAGUUACCAGCGAGUUAAGUCGGGGACUCUAAAGAGACUGCCUGCGCAAGCAGUGAGGAAGGUGGGGACGACGUCAAAUCAUCAUGGCCCUUACGUCCAGGGCUACACACGUGCUACAAUGGAUGGUACAACGGGUUGCGAACCUGCGAAGGUAAGCUAAUCUCUAAAAGCCAUUCUCAGUUCGGAUUGGAGUCUGCAACUCGACUCCAUGAAGCCGGAAUCGCUAGUAAUCGCGUAUCAGCUACGACGCGGUGAAUACGUUCCCGGGCCUUGUACACACCGCCCGUCAAGCCAUGGAAGCCGGGGGUACCUGACGUCAGAGCUUAUACCUCUGCCUAGGGUGAAACUGGUAACUAGGGCUAAGUCGUAACAAGGUAGCCGUACCGGAAGGUGCGGCUGGAUCACCUCCUU